rnacentral:rRNA from 1 species
UAGGGAAUCUUCGGCAAUGGACGGAAGUCUGACCGAGCAACGCCGCGUAAGUGAAGAAGGUUUUCGGAUCGUAAAGCUCUGUUGUAAGAGAAGAACGAGUGUGAGAGUGGAAAGUUCACACUGUGACGGUAUCUUACCAGAAAGGGACGGCUAACUACGUGCCAGCAGCCGCGGUAAUACGUAGGUCCCGAGCGUUGUCCGGAUUUAUUGGGCGUAAAGCGAGCGCAGGCGGUUAGAUAAGUCUGAAGUUAAAGGCUGUGGCUUAACCAUAGUAGGCUUUGGAAACUGUUUAACUUGAGUGCAAGAGGGGAGAGUGGAAUUCCAUGUGUAGCGGUGAAAUGCGUAGAUAUAUGGAGGAACACCGGUGGCGAAAAGGCGGCUCUCNGGGCUUGUAACUGACGCUGAGGCUCGAAAGCGUGGGGAGCAAACAGGAUUAGAUACCCUGGUAGUCCACGCUGUAAACGAUGAGUGCUAGGUGUUAGACCCUUUCCGGGGUUUAGUGCCGUAGCUAACGCAUUAAGCACUCCGCCUGGGGAGUACGACCGCAAGGUUG